rnacentral:pre_miRNA from 1 species
AGGCAAGAUUUUGGCAUAGCUGUAGCAUCUGAACCUGUUGUGCCAUCAGAUUGCCAUC